CUAAUUCUGAAUACAAGGUCUUUGAUGGCCAGCUAGGUAUUGCUCGUGGUCAUCCCCUCAUGAUCCUUUACCCCUCCUUAUUGCUAACAUCAUUUGUUCCUUUUUUGCAGAAGCAGGAAGGACCAGAGCCUUCAAACGAUGAUGACAUCCCCUCUUGGCUCCUCGAGUCUACUCCCAUGGCCUUUUUCUGUAAGAAUGCUCCUCCUAUGAAGAAACUUAUACUACAGCGCCAGCUCGACCCUCCAAAACCGAUUCCAAAGAGAAGUCGGCCUUCAGAAACUGUUGCCCCCAGGGCCCAAACAAAAGUGAGGAGAGUGUCUGCCAAAAUAAUUUCUAAAGAGGCACGAUCAUCUUCAGUCUGUGAAGGCUUGACCACUUCUCAAGUCGUUGCCGUUAAAGCAUCUAGUGGAGAGAAACAUGUGUCUCGAGGGUGCUCGCCCUCGGCCACCGUUGAUGUUCUGACCGAGACCGUCGGUACUCUGGUCGUUCUUCAG
rnacentral:misc_RNA from 1 species